CGCAUAACACAAAAGAAACGACCCCACCCCCCAUACUCUAUCUUCCUCACACCCCAUCAGCUUCUCAUUCAUUUUCAACGCUGAACCAACAACAAGAAAACAAAGAAUAACGCCUGACGGGCUGAAAAUAUACGCUAGAAACAAAACCUAGGGACCUAGAGGCAAUCAAAUCAGUGCCGUUUUAGGAAGGGACCUGUAUUCUUGUUCAUGUUAGCCACACAAUACAGAACCUAUACAAAAAGAGGGAUCAGGAAUUGGAUACAGGAGUUAAUGCGUAAGAUCUGAAAAAUAGCUAACCAAAAGAGCUAAAAAAAAGCGUCAUUCGGAACAAGCCCUACGUCGUUCUUCUUCUUCAGAAAACAACUCCAUAGCAGCCAUGAAAGGACCUUAAACCUACCUGAAACCUCACUUAAAUCACCUCAAAAAUAGUUGUAGAAACGGCCAUUAAGCCACCGAAAACAGGCACCGAAUCACUGCCAAAACAUCUUUUCGGACCUCUCAUACAAGCACGUGAAAGGUCCUCAAAGUAGUAAAGCUUUAAGUCGAAGUUUCGGUCUGUCGAGAUCCAUUCGUGAAUCCUAUUCACUGCCCGGUCUUCGUUUCUUCAAUCAAGUUUGAGGAUUAGUCGAGGUCCGAGUUGUGUCCGACGAGGCUUCUAGUUCAUCAAGGUCUGAUUUGGAGUUCUUAUUUACGUUUGGAUUUCCCCAGCUGUAAACUUUCUAAUUCGG
rnacentral:lncRNA from 1 species